CGCCAGGGGAUGCAAACCCUUCUGCCCCUUUUUGCUACCCCUGAAGCUUACUGUUAGUGGUCGAGUUUUUCUGGAAGUGGGCUUCCGCGAUCGCGGGGACCAACGCCCUGAGCUCUUGUGCCCAAAGGGGAUCGCCAGGUUUUUUGAUGCGGAUCGAAAGGGACUGGCCCCGGAGCCUACAACCUGACGCAGGUGGGACUUGGGGAAAUGUCGAGAAACCUAGGUCUGGGACUUGAGUUGGCUUCCAGGGCACACAUUCUUGUUCAGAAGAAACACAUUGCAAAAAUCGGGAGGUGACGGGCAGAUGAAGUGUCGGCGCUUCGCCUCGGGACUCCAGUGCAACCUAUGGGGCUUUUGGAAAUGAGGAAGUCGAUGACUCUGCAGGGACUCCUCUGACCCAGGAGCAGAUGGCGCUCGUCUGGGCACUCCCCAGGAGAAAAGGUGCAUCGGGAAGCAGCCUGGCUUGUGGAUGGUGGACAAGGUGGAGGAGAGAGAAUUCCUUGGCAGUAGCAUUAUGAACAAAUGCAGGGCUGAGAAACAGCAUGGUGGCCUUGACUAAGUUUAUGGCGACAGCAG
rnacentral:lncRNA from 1 species